AACGAACGCUGGCGGCAUGCCUAACACAUGCAAGUCGAACGAGACCUUCGGGUCUAGUGGCGCACGGGUGCGUAACGCGUGGGAACCUGCCCUUAGGUUCGGAAUAACUCCCCGAAAGGGGUGCUAAUACCGGAUAAUGUCUUCGGACCAAAGAUUUAUCGCCUUUGGAUGGGCCCGCGUUGGAUUAGCUAGUUGGUAGGGUAAAAGCCUACCAAGGCGACGAUCCAUAGCUGGUCUGAGAGGAGGAUCAGCCACACUGGGACUGAGACACGGCCCAGACUCGUACGGGAGGCAGCAGUGGGGAAUAUUGGACAAGGGGCGAAAGCCUGAUCCAGCAAUGCCGCGUGAGUGAUGAAGGCCUUAGGGUUGUAAAGCUCUUUUACCCGGGAUGAUAAUGACAGUACCGGGAGAAUAAGCGCCGGCUAACUACGUG
rnacentral:rRNA from 1 species